CAGCAGCCGCGGUAAACCGUAGGAUCCGAGCGUUAUCCGAAUUCACUGGGCGUAAAGCGCGAGUAGGCGGUUCGGUAAGUUGGAUGUGAAAGCUCCCGGCUCAACUGGGAGAGGACGUUCAAAACUGUUGGACUAGAGGGCGGAAGAGGAAGGUAGAAUUCCCGGU
rnacentral:rRNA from 1 species